rnacentral:rRNA from 1 species
UGGAGAAAAGCAGGGGAUCGCAAGACCUUGCGCUUUUGGAGUGGCCGAUGCCUGAUUAGCUAGUUGGUGGGGUAAGAGCCUACCAAGGCGACGAUCAGUAGUUGGUCUGAGAGGACGACCAGCCACACUGGGACUGAGACACGGCCCAGACUCCUACGGGAGGCAGCAGUGGGGAAUUUUGGACAAUGGGCGAAAGCCUGAUCCAGCAAUGCCGCGUGAGUGAAGAAGGCCUUCGGGUUGUAAAGCUCUUUCAGUCGAGAAGAAAAGGUCGCGACUAAUAAUCGCGACUCAUGACGGUAUCGACAGAAGAAGCACCGGCUAACUACGUGCCAGCAGCCGCGGUAAUACGUAGGGUGCGAGCGUUAAUCGGAAUUACUGGGCGUAAAGGGUGCGCAGGCGGUUUUGUAAGUCAGAUGUGA